GAGAGAGAGACCCCAACACUGAGCAGACAGGUGAGAGAGAGAGAGAGACCCCAACACUGACCAGACAGGUGAGAGAGAGAGAGAGACCCCAACACUGACCAGACAGGUGAGAGAGAGAGACCCCAACACUGACCAGACAGGUGAGAGAGAGAGACCCCAACACUGACCAGACAGGUGAGAGAGAGAGACCCCAACACUGACCAGACAGGUGAGAGAGAGAGAGACCCCAACACUGACCAGACAGGUGAGAGAGAGAGAGAGAGACCCCAACACUGACCAGACAGGUGAGAGAGAGAGACCCCAACACUGACCAGACAGGUGAGAGAGAGAGACCCCAACACUGACCAGACAGGUGAGAGAGAGAGACCCCAACACUGACCAGACAGGUGAGAGAGAGAGACCCCAACACUGACCAGACAGGUGAGAGAGAGAGAGACCCCAACACUGACCAGACAGGUGAGAGAGAGAGAGAGACCCCAACACUGACCAGACAGGUGAGAGAGAGAGACCCCAACACUGACCAGACAGGUGAGAGAGAGAGAGAGACCCCAACACUGACCAGACAGGUGAGAGAGAGAGACCCCAACACUGACCAGACAGGUGAGAGAGAGAGACCCCAACACUGACCAGACAGGUGAGAGAGAGAGAGAGAGACCCCAACACUGACCAGACAGGUGAGAGAGAGAGACCCCCAACACUGACCAGACAGGUGAGAGAGAGAGAGACCCCAACACUGACCAGACAGGUGAGAGAGAGAGAGAGACCCCAACACUGACCAGACAGGUGAGAGAGAGAGACCCCAACACUGACCAGACAGGUGAGAGAGAGAGAGAGACCCAACACUGACCAGACAGGUGAGAGAGAGAGACCCCAACACUGACCAGACAGGUGAGAGAGAGAGACCCCAACACUGACCAGACAGGUGAGAGAGAGAGACCCCAACACUGACCAGACAGGUGAGAGAGAGAGAGAGACCCCAACACUGACCAGACAGGUGAGAGAGAGAGACCCCAACACUGACCAGACAGGUGAGAGAGAGAGACCCCAACACUGACCAGACAGGUGAGAGAGAGAGACCCCAACACUGACCAGACAGGUGAGAGAGAGAGAGACCCCAACACUGACCAGACAGGUGAGAGAGAGGAGAGGAGAGGAGAGGAUAGGAGAGACAGGGGAGAGAGAGAGAGACCCCAACCCCAACACUGACCAGACAGGUGAGAGAGAGAGACAGACAGACAGAGAGAGACCCCGACACUGACCCCAACACUGAGGACCAUCACUGUCCAGACCGGUGUGUGUCUGACUACUAAACUAUAGAGAGGGGGGGAGAGACUAUGUGUGUGGUUGGGGAUUUACUAACUCUAUCACUCUAUCUCUCUCUUCUCUCCCCUCUCCUCUCUCCCCCCCUCUCUCUCUCUCUCUCUCUCUCCUCUC